rnacentral:rRNA from 1 species
UAGGGAAUCUUCGGCAAUGGACGGAAGUCUGACCGAGCAACGCCGCGUGAGUGAAGAAGGUUUUCGGAUCGUAAAGCUCUGUUGUAAGAGAAGAACGAGUGUGAGAGUGGAAAGUUCACACUGUGACGGUAUCUUACCAGAAAGGGACGGCUAACUACGUGCCAGCAGCCGCGGUAAUACGUAGGUCCCGAGCGUUGUCCGGAUUUAUUGGGCGUAAAGCGAGCGCAGGCGGUUAGAUAAGUCUGAAGUUAAAGGCUGUGGCUUAACCAUAGUAGGCUUUGGAAACUGUUUAACUUGAGUGCAAGAGGGGAGAGUGGAAUUCCAUGUGUAGCGGUGAAAUGCGUAGAUAUAUGGAGGAACACCGGUGGCGAAAGCGGCUCUCUGGCUUGUAACUGACGCUGAGGCUCGAAAGCGUGGGGGGCAAACAGGAUUAGAUACCCUGGUAGUCCACGCUGUAAACGAUGAGUGCUAGGUGUUAGACCCUUUCCGGGGUUUAGUGCCGUAGCUAACGCAUUAAGCACUCCGCCUGGGGAGUACGACCGCAAGGUUG